ACCAGACUCCUACGGGAGGCAGCAGUGGGGAAUAUUGCACAAUGGGGGGAACCCUGAUGCAGCGACGCCGCGUGGGUGAAGAAGUCAUUCGUGACGUAAAGCCCUAUCGGCAGGGAAGAAGCAAGACGGUACCUGACUAAGAAGCCCCGGCUAACUACGUGCCAGCAGCCGCGGUAAUACGUAGGGGGCGAACGUUAUCCGGAUUCACUGGGUGUAAAGGGAGCGUAGACGGCCAAGCAAGCCAGGGGUGAAAGCCCGGGGCCCAACCCCGGGACUGCCCUUGGAACUGCAUGGCUGGAGUGCGGGAGGGGCAGGCGGAAUUCCUGGUGUAGCGGUGAAAUGCGUAGAUAUCAGGAGGAACACCGGCGGCGAAGGCGGCCUGCUGGACCGCGACUGACGUUGAGGCUCGAAAGCGUGGGGAGCAAACAGGAUUAGAUACCCGAGUA
rnacentral:rRNA from 1 species